UACGUAGGGUGCGAGCGUUGUCCGGAAUUAUUGGGCGUAAAGGGCUCGUAGGCGGUUUGUCGCGUCGGGAGUGAAAACUCAGGGCUUAACCCUGAGCCUGCUCCCGAUACGGGCAGACUAGAGGUAUGCAGGGGAGAACGGAAUUCCUGGUGUAGCGGUGAAAUGCGCAGAUAUCAGGAGGAACACCGGUGGCGAAGGCGGGUCUCUGGGCCGAUACUGACGCUGAGGAGCGAAAGCGUGGGGAGCAAACAGG
rnacentral:rRNA from 1 species